rnacentral:rRNA from 1 species
GACGAACGCUGGCGGCGUGCUUAACACAUGCAAGUCGAGCGGUAAGGCCCUUUCGGGGGUACACGAGCGGCGAACGGGUGAGUAACACGUGGGUGACCUGCCCUCAGCUCUGGGAUAAGCCUGGGAAACUGGGUCUAAUACCGGAUAGGACUACUGGAUGCAUGUCUGGUGGUGGAAAGCCAGUUACUUUUGUUCUGGCGGUGGGGGAUGGGCCCGCGGCCUAUCAGCUUGUUGGGGGGUGAUGGCCUACCAAGGCGGUGACGGGUAGCCGGCCUGAGAGGGCGACCGGGCCACACUGGGACUGAGACACGGCCCAGACUCCUACGGGAGGCAGCAGUGGGGAAUAUUGCGCGAUGGGCGGAAGCCUGACGCAGCGACGCCGCGUGGGG